CUGUGCGUUCAGGGCCCCGCCGGGAAUAGGGGCGGGGGACCAGGGGAGGCAGCCCCUUCCGUAGGUCUCCAGGCCCUGGCGGAGAGGAGAUGAGGAGGGCGGGAGUGCACGGCCCGCAUGCGGAAGGUUCUUCUUGACUGUGUUAUGAGCCAUAAUGGUACCCAACCCUGUGUCACAGGGACCCAGGAGACAGGACCCGCCUCUCUUCCCUGAACCAUUUUUGGAAGUCUGGAAGAACCAAGCACUUGCCUUGGAGAGCUUUAUAGUUGGAGUGACAUACCAUGGAGAAAUGGAAGUCCUUCAAACACAUUUUUGUGCCCGAAGAAGGGACCCUGGGCUACGGGACCCUGCAGGCUAGGACUGUGUUUAUUUGGUGCGGGUGGUAUUACAGCCUCCGUGGCUUCUCUGGUCCACACGGCUCCACACGGCUCCGCACGGCAGAGAACUCGGCUCCUGCUGCUCUGGAGAUUAUAGCAAACACCUCAGAAGUAGCUGAACAUCCCUCUGAUCCAACUCCAAGUUCUUGAAGAGCUUCUCU